rnacentral:rRNA from 1 species
GACAGAGGGUGCAAACGUCGUUCGGAAUUACUGGGCGUAAAGCGAGUGUAGGCGGUCUUGUAAGUCGGGUGUGAAAGCCCAGGGCUCAACCCGGGAAGUGCACUCGAAACUGCGAGGCUAGAGUAUCGGAGAGGUUGGUGGAAUUCUCGGUGUAGAGGUGAAAUUCGUAGAUAUCGAGAGGAACACCGGUGGCGAAGGCGGCCAACUGGACGAAUACUGACGCUGAGACUCGAAAGCGUGGGGAGCAAACAGG